rnacentral:rRNA from 1 species
UACGUAGGGCGCAAGCGUUGUCCAGAAUUAUUGGGCGUAAAGAGCUCGUAGGCGGCUUGUCACGUCGGGUGUGAAAGCCCGGGGCUUAACCCCGGGUCUGCAUUCGAUACGGGCAGGCUAGAGUGUGGUAGGGGAGAUCGGAAUUCCUGGUGUAGCGGUGAAAUGCGCAGAUAUCAGGAGGAACACCGGUGGCGAAGGCGGAUCUCUGGGCCAUUACUGACGCUGAGGAGCGAAAGCGUGGGGAGCGAACAGG